rnacentral:rRNA from 1 species
UACGUAGGGGGCGAGCGUUGUCCGGAUUCAUUGGGCGUAAAGAGCUCGUAGGCGGCUUGGCAAGUCGGGUGUGAAACCUCUAGGCUCAACCUGGAGACGCCACCCGAUACUGCUAUGGCUAGAGUCCGGUAGGGGACCACGGAAUUCCUGGUGUAGCGGUGAAAUGCGCAGAUAUCAGGAGGAACACCGGUGGCGAAGGCGGUGGUCUGGGCCGGCACUGACGCUGAGGAGCGAAAGCGUGGGGAGCGAACAGG